UGUUAAAAGUACCUUUCAAUUGUACUGUUAAAAACUAGCAUGGCUAAUGAAAACUAGACAUGGCAUGCCAUGUAUACAUAAUGCUAAUGUACACAGACCAGUUUUUAAUAGUAGAAAUGAAUGGAAAUUUUAACA
rfam:Gossypium arboreum cultivar AKA8401 contig_4772_7, whole genome shotgun sequence.